GCGCGCGAGUGGCGGAACGGCAGACGCGCUGGCUUCAGGUGCCAGUGUCCGAAAGGGCGUGGGGGUUCAAAUCCCCCUCGCGCACCCCA
rnacentral:tRNA from 1 species